rnacentral:rRNA from 1 species
UUUUGGACAAUGGGCGCAAGCCUGAUCCAGCAAUGCCGCGUGCAGGAAGAAGGCCUUCGGGUUGUAAACUGCUUUUGUACGGAACGAAACGGUCCUGGUUAAUACCUGGGGCUAAUGACGGUACCGUAAGAAUAAGCACCGGCUAACUACGUGCCAGCAGCCGCGGUAAUACGUAGGGUGCAAGCGUUAAUCGGAAUUACUGGGCGUAAAGCGUGCGCAGGCGGUUUUGUAAGACAGGCGUGAAAUCCCCGGGCUUAACCUGGGAAUGGCGCUUGUGACUGCAAAGCUGGAGUGCGGCAGAGGGGGAUGGAAUUUCGCGUGUAGCAGUGAAAUGCGUAGAUAUGCGGAGGAACACCGAUGGCGAAGGCAAUCCCCUGGGCCUGCACUGACGCUCAUGCACGAAA